rnacentral:rRNA from 1 species
GACAGAGGGUGCGAGCGUUGUUCGGAAUUACUGGGCGUAAAGCGUGCGCAGGCGGCUUUGCAAGACAGAUGUGAAAUCCCCGGGCUUAACCUGGGAACUGCAUUUGUGACUGCAUGGCUGGAGUGCGGCAGAGGGGGAUGGAAUUCCGCGUGUAGCAGUGAAAUGCGUAGAUAUGCGGAGGAACACCGAUGGCGAAGGCAAUCCCCUGGGCCUGCACUGACGCUCAUGCACGAAAGCGUGGGGAGCAAACAGG